rnacentral:rRNA from 1 species
GACGAACGCUGGCGGCGUGCUUAACACAUGCAAGUCGAGCGAGGCCCUCUCUUCGGAGAGGUGCCCUAGCGGCGAACGGGUGAGUAACACGUGGGCAACCUGCCCCUAGCACUGGGAUAACUCCGGGAAACCGGGGCUAAUACCGGAUAUGACCUCCGAAGGCAUCUUUGGUGGUGGAAAAGAUUCUGGCUAGGAUGGGCCCGCGGCCUAUCAGCUUGUUGGUGGGGUAACGGCCUACCAAGGCGACGACGGGUAGCCGGCCUGAGAGGCGACCGGCCACACUGGGACUGAGACACGGCCCAGACUCCUACGGGAGGCAGCAGUGGGGAAUAUUGGACAAUGGGGGCGAACCCUGAUCCAGCAAUGCCGCGUGAGUGAAGAAGGCCUUCGGUUGUAAGACUC